rnacentral:lncRNA from 1 species
AAGGCCCCUCCCCAGCUGCCCGCCCCCGCCGGAACCCGCCGCCCGCCGCCGCCGCCGCGCGCGGGGCCCCGGCCAGAGGGCCCUCACCUGGGACCGCCGGCGGCCCGCAGAUUCCUCCGGGCGGGGCGGGGAGGCGGGCGCGGACCUCCACCCGCCGGGCCCGCCGCAUCCAAGCGGGAAACCGAGGUCGGGGGAGGAAGCCGGGCCUCGCCCGGGGCACGCGGACGAUGGGAGGCCAGAAGGCACAACCUUGUCUCCAGAUCCUAGCACAGGACUUUGGCACGCAGAGGAUGCUGAAGUUUGUUGACUGACUAAUGGAGCGAGACCACAGAGCGCCCACCAUUUACUGUGCCCUUUACCCUGUUACGUUAUUUCAUCCUCCCGGUGACCCUGAGGCUCUGAAAGAUGAAACAAUUAGAUUCAGGUCAUCUGGAAGUCAAACAGGUGACAUUUAGGAAGCCCUUCGUGGACCCUGGCCACAGGUAAGUCCUAGGCUGUCCUGGGGGAGGAGGAGAGCGACCAUUGAGAGAGGCUGACCGCGCGCCAGGCUCUGCGCCACCCCUGUGAGUUCUCAGUGUCUUUGGGAAGCUUCCAGGCUCUGAAGAAAGAAAUGGCUCUGGGAGUGGGUGGAUUCUAAAGAUGAGGGUUGGAAAUUUCGGAGGCCUGGAGGGAACAAUUCUGCCCUGAAGCAUCUCUCUUCGAAGACACUUUCCUGAAAGUGGCUGUCACUGAAUCCCUCUGAUGCGCCACAUGAAGGCGCUGAGAGAUGAGAUUGGCAAGUGAAAUGAACCUGUCUUCACGCUUGAUAAAUCAGAGCGGAUCGUCAGUCCUGCCACUCCUGUCCACCUUUCAAAGACAGGAGAGAGAAUGGGACUCAAUGCGCACUGCCCGAUGGAGUCCCAGCCCUGCCACAUACCAGCAGGGUGACCUGGAUCUGUCUCUUAACCUAUCCAAGCCUCACUUUCUGCACCUGCAAAUUGGGGAUGAUAAGACCUAAGUCACGCUUUGUCCUGAGGACUAAAU